GACCCUUCGGGGAGCUUGCACAGGUGCUGCAUGGCUGUCGUCAGCUCGUGUCGUGAGAUGUCGGUUAAGUCCGCUAACGAGCGCAACCCUCGCUGUGUGUUAUAUGUGUCACACGGGACUGCCGGUCUUAAGCCGGAGGAAGGUGGGGAUGAUGUCAAGUCAGCAUGGCCUUUAUAUCCUGGGCUACACACACGCUACAAUGGCCAACACAAUAGGUUGCUAAGCCGCGAGGUGGCGCCAAUCCAUAAAGUUGGUCUCAGUUCAGAUUGUAGGCUGCAACCCGCCUGCAUGAAGAUGGAGUUGCUAGUAACCGCAGGUCAGCUAUACUGCGGUGAAUACGUUCCCGGGCCUU
rnacentral:rRNA from 1 species